UAUUAUACUUUACUGAAAAUUAGAUAUGCUUGAGUAGUAAUCGGUUAUGAUCUUGAAACUUAAAGGAUUUGGCGGUAUUUUAGUCUAGUUAGGGGAACCUGUUUUAUAAACGAUAAACCACGAAGUAUCUUACCUUUCUUGGUUAUGUCAGUAUGUAUACCGUCAUUAUUAGAUGGUCUUUAUAAAGAGCCAUUAAAAUAGUUCUAUGUUAAAAUAUUAGAUCAAGGUGCAGCGGAUGGAGAGGAAAAUAAUGGGUUACAAUGUUGUUAAAAUAUACGGAUAUAUAAUUGAAUGUUGUAUAUGAAGGUGGACUUAAGUGUAAUUAUAUUUUAAUAAGGUAUAAUGAUAUUA
rnacentral:rRNA from 1 species